UACGUAGGGGGCAAGCGUUGUCCGGAAUCAUUGGGCGUAAAGAGCGUGUAGGCGGUUCGGUAAGUCGGCUGUGAAAGUCCAGGGCUCAACCCUGGGAUGCCGGUCGAUACUGCCGGACUAGAGGGUGGUAGAGGCGAGUGGAAUUCCCGGUGUAGCGGUGAAAUGCGCAGAUAUCGGGAGGAACACCAGUAGCGAAGGCGGCUCGCUGGGCCAUUCCUGACGCUGAGACGCGAAAGCUAGGGGAGCGAACAGG
rnacentral:rRNA from 1 species